AUGGUGUGUUUUGUACAGAACACCAAUAAAUUCUUCUCAAUUCUUCUCCCCCGUUCUUUUCGAGCAGUGAUACGCUUACGGCACGCACCACGCCGGCAGCUAUUUAUAUCCCACCUCCGAAAACUUUUGCGCGUUCCCCCGUUUUUUCCACCAUUUCCACGAUUUUCCUGCGGCUCCCCGGGCCGUGCAUUCCUGCCCAGCCCCAGCUGCCCCCUGCCCUCGGAGGGCUCCAGCGCUGCCGGCCCAGCCCGGGGCACGGCCGGGCAGGGCCACCCCGAGCUCCCCGGGGGCAAGGAGCCCCCGCCCGCUGCGCGCUCCCCGAGGAUGCUGCGGAGCCGAGGCUGCAGCAGAGGGGCUUUCGGAGGCGUUUUUUUUUUUUGUCGUUGCUUUUUCCUUCCCCUUCUUUCUCCCAACCUGGCCAACUUUUCUUUUUUUUUUUUUUUACUUAACUUUUUUUCUUCUUCUUCUUCUGUACUUUUCUGUACUUUUUUUUUUUUUUUCCCCUCGCAAAAGCCACGCCGUGGAAAGCCGGGGUGGCGGCGGCGGUGGUGGUGGUGGAGGAGGGAGAAACCCCUCCCCUUCCCCUCCCCCGUGGCUCCUUCCUCGGAAAAGCAGCACUUGGGGGGUUUCCUCCCCUUCCCCUCCGCGCCGCUCCCCGCGGCCGAGGAGGGCCCGGCGGGCUGCCGCCGGCCCGGGCCAGCCCCGGGAAGCCCCGGUAAGAGGGCGGACAGCGGCCCCUCGCCCAUCUCGGGGACCGGGGAGGCGAGGGGAGGGCCGGGGGAGGGAUGCGCGGCGGGGAGCGAGGCCGCCUCGGUUUCGCUUCGGGGCGGGGGAGCGGGGGCAGGGGCCGGGGCCGGGCCGGGCAGCGCCGCUGUCGCCCCGGCACUGAGCGCUCGCUCGCACCCGCGGCCCCUCCGGCAGCCCCGACCGGAGCUCAGGAGGAGCCGAGGGCAAAUCGGGCUCCGCUGCCUCCGAGCCGGCUCGUCGGGGAGCGCGCGAUGGAUCCGCGCUGGAGGAAAGCUCCGCAAAAGCAGCGAAGCGCUGCGUCGGCGCUCCCGACGUUGGACCGCUUCCAGGCCUGACCUCCAGCUGCUCACCCCUAUGGAUGGCAAAUUGAGAGAGUUGCUGAUUGUUCUCUUCCCUGGAGCAGUUCAACGUGUAGAAGCGUAGCGAGGGCAUUGGCAGCUUUUACCUCAGCAUCAUCCAGCCCUGCUGAGAGGCACUCGACGCAGAACGGUGCUAAAAUGCUGGCAGAG
ensembl:lncRNA